rnacentral:tRNA from 3 species
GCUAGCGUGGCAGAGCUCGGCAAAUGCAAAAGGCUUAAGUCCUUUGUCCAGAGGUUCAAGUCCUCUCCCUAGCC